rnacentral:rRNA from 1 species
CACUGGAUAGCACCUCCAUCAGGUUCAGCAAAGAUAAACAUUGAUGCCUCGGUUGGGAGAGGACGAAACUAUGGAGCAGUGGGGGCCAUCUGCCGAGAUCAAGCAGGUCUUUUUCUUGGAGCUUCAGCUAUUGUCUUGCAGAGAAUAUCCGAUCCAACGACAUUGGAAUGUAUUGCCAUCAGAGAAGCAUUAGCACUAGCGGAUGACCUAUAUGAGAGAAAUAUACAAGUGUCUUCAUAUUGCAAAGUGGUGGUAGAAGACAUCUGGGAUAAGAGUGUGACAGCCUACAGAGCGAUCAUUCAUGAAAUCAUAGAUCAUAAGUCUACCUUUCAGUCUUGUAAUAUUAGUCACGAAUUUAGGAGCUCGAAUGUGGAAUCUCAGAAGCUCGCGAAGCAUGCUUUAUCCAUACCGGUUGGCCGGCAUGUCUGGCUCGGCCAGCCGAAUGGACAUCCUUUCGUCCGUCUAAACACUGUGACGAGAUCUAAUAAAAAUCUUUGGAGUUUGCCUAAAAAACUAGACGUGUCCCGUAAAUCUCAAAAGAAAAAAAAAAAACUAGACGCGUCCCAUAAAUCUCAAAAGAAAAAAGAAAAAACUAGACGCGUCCCAUCACACUGA